CCACCCUGAACGCGCCCGAUCUCAUCUGAUCUCGGAAGCUAAGCAGGGUUGGGCCUGGUUAGUACUUGGAUGGGAGUUUGCUUUAUUAAUCUGGG
rnacentral:rRNA from 1 species